GAGACCUCCAGGUCAGGCGGGAUUAGCCGCUGAGUUUAAKCAUA
rnacentral:rRNA from 1 species